rnacentral:rRNA from 1 species
CCUAAGGGAGGCAGCAGUGGGGAAUAUUGGACAAUGGGCGAAAGCCUGAUCCAGCCAUGCCGCGUGUGUGAAGAAGGCCUUCGGGUUGUAAAGCACUUUCAGUGGGGAAGAAAGCCUUGGGGCUAAUACCCUCGAGGAAGGACAUCACCCACAGAAGAAGCACCGGCUAACUCCGUGCCAGCAGCCGCGGUAAUACGGAGGGUGCGAGCGUUAAUCGGAAUUACUGGGCGUAAAGCGCGCGUAGGCGGUCUGAUAAGCCGGUUGUGAAAGCCCCGGGCUCAACCUGGGAACGGCAUCCGGAACUGUCAGGCUAGAGUGCAGGAGAGGAAGGUAGAAUUCCCGGUGUAGCGGUGAAAUGCGUAGAGAUCGGGAGGAAUACCAGUGGCGAAGGCGGCCUUCUGGACUGACACUGACGCUGAGGUGCGAAAGCGUGGGUAGCAAACAGGAUUAGAUACCCGAGUAGUC